AGAGAACACCAAACCCCAAUGAGGAGGAUUAGAGAAGAGAUUUUUGCUAUUCGAUAGACGCAAAUAUUUAAGGCCAACCAGAUGUCCAAUUGAUGAAGGUAUUUCCUCGAUCGCACUACCACUUAAGGCAAUCGACUCCAAAUUCUUCUUCUGCUCCCCAAAUUCUAGAAUCUUUUUCAGAUUUUUGCAAUUAUCUAGAUGCAACUUCUGAAGGCCAACCAGAUGUCCAAAGGAUAAAGGUACUUCCUCGAUCGCACUACCAAUUAAGUCAAUGAACGCCAAAUUCUUCAUCUGCUCCCCAAAUUCUGGAAUCUUUUUCAGAUUUUUGCAAUUAUUUAGAUACAACUCCUUAAGGCCAACCAGAUGUCCAAUUGAUGAAGGUAUUUCCUCGAUCGCACUACCACUUAAGACAAUCGACUCCAAAUUCUUCAUCUGCUCCCCAAAUUCUGGAAUCUUUUCCAGAUUUUUGCAAUUAUCUAGAUGCAACUCAUAAAGGCUAACCAGAUGUCCAAUUGAUGAAGGUAUUUCCUCAAUCGCACUACCACUUAAGGCAAUCAACUCCAAAUUCUUCAUCUGCUCCCCAAAUUCUGGAAUCUUUUUCAGAUUUUUGCAAUUAUCUAGAUGCAACACCUUAAGGCCAACCAGAUGUCCAAUUGAUGAAGGUAUUUCCUCGAUCGCACUACCACUUAAGACAAUCAACUCCAAAUUCUUCAUCUGCUCCCCAAAUUCUGGAAUCUUUUUCAGAUUUUUGCAGUUAUCUAGAUGCAACACCUUAAGGCCAACCAGAUGUCCAAUUGAUUAAGGUAUUUCCUCGAUCGCACUACCAUUGAAGCUAAUCGACUCCAAAUUCUUCAUCUGCUCCCCAAAUUUUGGAAUCUUUUUCAGAUUUUUGCAAUUACGUAGAUGCAACACCUUAAGGCCAACCAGAUGUCCAAUUGAUGAAGGUAUUUCCUCGAUCGCACUACCACUGAAGCUAAUCGACUCCAAAUUCUUCAUCUGCUCCCCAAAUUCUGGAAUCUUUUUCAGAUUUUUGCAAUUAUCUAGAUAAAACUUCUGAAGGCCAACCAGAUGUCCAAUUGAUGAAGGUAUUUCCUCGAUCGCACUACUACG
rnacentral:lncRNA from 1 species